UUGUGAAUUAACUUGUCUGCAGUCCCCUGAGUCCUUCUCUGCACAAGCAGGGCAGGGCCCCAAGCACAAAUUCUACCUGGAAGAAAAAUGGAGCUGUCCAGAGUGCUGGAAUCGCUGCGCGUGACGGAGCCCUGUUCAGCUCAGAGGACAGUGCCCUGCAGGCCUGGGGUGCACUAGCGCCCCAGGAGUCACAGCAUUAGGAGGAGCCUGAUCCAGAUCUAACAGGAGGGCGGUGGCUCAGGGCAGCCUCCCUGCUCCUCUCUGCUCCUUACGAGCUGGAGGGCAGACACGGAGUGAUAAGCCUUCGGCCUGAGCUGUCUGUUUAAAAGUCACUUGUUAAAGUGGAAGAGCCCCUUUCCCCUGGCCAGUCCUUUCCUAUUUUGUACAAGUUAAUUUAUCCAAGUCGUUAAUAUUUUGACUCCUGAGGGAAUAUUAGGAGCUGGGUACGUAAAUACGGAUGAUAAAUAUUUGUUAAACAAAUGUAUUUAUUGGGCAGCUACUGUGUGCUUGGAUGGUGCUAGAGCUAGAAAGCUGAUAAGAUACAGUGCUUGUCCUCCAGGAGCAGUAAUUAGUGGGAGAUUCAUUCACAAGUAUUUGUUACGUGCCCAGCACCCAGCAAGUAAUAAAGAAGCGUCUCUUUACUUUUAGUUGGUGAAUGGUGCAGAUGAGUGUAGAGGCUGGGCCCUGAACACGGCCUGGGGGUUUGGGAGGUUGUGGGGAGUGGAGGGAAGGUGAGGCUUCCUAAAGGAAGUGAGGAUUGAGUGCGUGGGUGGGUGGAAGUGAGCUGGCUGAGGAAGGACGGGAUAGCAGGGACCUUCGGAGACCCGGCCCUGACAGAGCAGAAUGUACCUGUCAGGAGUGCAUUUAGCAGUGAGCUGUGUGCGUGGUGAAAACAGUAUUCUGUUCACCUGGAAAGGUAGGUGGAGGUAAGUUCUGCGCUGCUGGGGUCCAGCAGAGGCACACAGCAGCUCCACGUGCCUUCCUGAGUUGCCCGGAACAUAGACAUUAACUGAGAUUUCAGAUGCAUGAACUCAGUGCUUUCCAUAGAUGUUCUGUAGGACACAAGGUGCUUGGAUAUUAAUAAGUGCCACGUGAUAAAUAGGUCCUAGGGUCAAACUGGUUCAGAAGAUGCAAAUACCCACUGUGAAUCUCUAGAGAGGGUAAAGCCUUCAAUUUUCCAGGUGGUCCGGGGAGAUUUUCACCUGAGCCUCUUGAGAAACAAGCGCUCAGAGUACACGCUGGGGAUGGCCGUGUCGGCACCCAAGUGGCAGGGAUGCUGCGUGGCAGGUCUCGUGGUUCUGAUUCUCCCUGAAGAUGCACUGCUCCCCAAGAUCUGCACAGCUAGAGGCAGGCUGGAGGGAGGUAGCUGCAAAGCACUAAUGAUGAGAAGACCCGCAAAUGGAGAGUGAAAGAAGGCGACCGGUUGACAACUUCAGUGUUACCCACAGCUCCUCUGUUGUGUGCUGGGUGUUGAAAGCCCUUCAGCUCUCAAAGUACCAGCUCUACCUGAUGGCUGGAAAGCAUCUGCCCUUUCUUCUCGCGUUUCUUUGCAUUCUUCUGACCUCUUAAGGCAGUGCAGAGACUGGCAUGGCUAUUAAAGUCAACAACUAUUUUUAUAGGUGGAACGUUGGUUGGGAGAAAGGACUUCUUGAUUGGAAUAGGAAACACUGACUGGCAAAUGUCUUCUGCGUUUCGUGUAUACUCCAGAAUCAUUCUUCAUCCAUAUGGAAGUCUUUCGUGUAAAUUGCUUAAAUUUUGAAAGUUAUCCUAUCUCUAAAAUCAAAUCUGGUUGGAUGUUGCAACCUCCAGCCACCACCUUUCUUCUCCCGCCUAAGUCUUCACACACUCAUCCUUAGGAAGUUCUGUAUCAUUUUCCUAAAAUCAUUAAUAAAAUGUAAUUAAAUACUUGC